UGGGGAAUAUUGCACAAUGGGCGAAAGCCUGAUGCAGCAACGCCGCGUGAGUGAUGAAGGUCUUCGGAUUGUAAAGCUCUGUCUUUUGGGACGAUAAUGACGGUACCAAAGGAGGAAGCCACGGCUAACUACGUGCCAGCAGCCGCGGUAAUACGUAGGUGGCGAGCGUUGUCCGGAUUUACUGGGCGUAAAGGGUGCGUAGGCGGAUGUUUAAGUGAGAUGUGAAAUACCCGGGCU
rnacentral:rRNA from 1 species